CAUGAUUAUUUCACUGAGGAGAAUCAUAGAAUGGGUUGGGUUGGAAGGGACCUUAAAGAUUAUCCACUUCCAACCCCCCUGCCACAGGGAUAUCCCAAAAAGGGAUAGCUCUGCCCUACACAGUGCUUGCUGCCCUGCUAGGAAUUAAACGACACCGACUGGCUCAAGGGAGAGAUGCGUGCACAGCAAGCAACAUUGAUUUAUAAGGUAUAUCUAAAAGGCUGAUAGCUUGAUAGCAUGAUCCAGCCCGACCCCUUGCCUACUUUUGUCAGACCUCCAUGGACUGCUGGAGCUACAAAAGUCUAACAAUGAUGGUGUUGCAUAUUUACCAUAUGAUAGCUAGAAGCUAGGCUUGUUUCUCCAUGCAUCCACGUACCCUUCCUGUGUCAGAAGCACCAACAUUUGCUACAUAUUUUAGUUAGGGAUUGGGGUGGGAUCAUUGGCUGAAUGCCCCACCAAAAAAUAAACAUCUCCAUUUAAGUCGGUGGCUGCUUUGCCUGAAGAAGGACGGCAAGGUACAGGGUUUGCUUCUCAUCUCACUUACUGAGAAGUCUAAACCCAUGGAAUUGUACCAGUGAAACAGGUGUGAGACCUGACCACGGCCCUUGGCCUUUAAAAAGUUCAUAAACCAAAUUCUGUUCCUAGCAAUUGCUUUUUGAAACCAAGUACCUAAAUAUACCAUUGCUGUGGGCUGGUAAAUUAAAACCAGUGCUGAAAUGAGAAGUAGCCAUGUUCUCAACAGAACUGGUUCCACUGUGUUUUGCUUUAAAACAUAUGGAUUAUGCAAUUUAAUUUUGGUUUUUUUUGGUGUAGAUGGUUGCAUUUGUUUGGAGGGAAGAAGCGCACGUUCCUCUCCGAAACUCUUAUCUGUAUUUUUGCAACAGUCAAGACGUUGCAAACAUCUUGCAAACAUGAAGACCAUGCUAAACAUUAAGGUCGUGACUAUGGAAGUGUUAGGACUGACUCCAAGCCAGGCUUUCAGAUCCACCCAUUUGUGGCGCACGGCAGGGUCACGGCCGAGCAGAGCGUGCCGCAAGCCCGUCCUUACAGGUAAAUACGUGAGAUUGGAUAAUGCUCUCGCGGACUGAGCUGUCAUGCUCAUUUAAUGCUAUGGAACCCAGCAGAGUCCUGUCUGAAAGCACAGCUGGACGUGGACCUCGGUGUUUGCAGAACGACCCCGAGACUCCCUGGCCAACCAGCGAGGAAUGCAGCUCAUGAGUCAUUUCCAUGCAGAAAACAAACAAAGAAAAGCCAGACAUACUCGUGAAUAGUCGAGCUCCCUGGGCGUGGAGUCGGUUAAAGCUCGUACGAGGGCGUUCAUCAUGCUGAUGGGAGGAGAAGGCG